AAAAUACCCAGAUCCUCUAUGUACACAUGUGAAUAUAUCUAUUUCACAUGUCUAAUUCUCUACUAGUAUUAGCUGCAUCAAUAGCUACACUUGCAAUAGUUAUAUCUCUCUUCUUCCUAUUAUUCCUCCUUGAGUACGUAACAACACCUAAUGAAGGACAGUAAUAAAUAUGGUAGAACAAUGUAAAUAUCAUACGCUACAUAUGAUAUACGUUCAUGCCUUACUGU
rnacentral:misc_RNA from 1 species